rnacentral:rRNA from 1 species
GUAAGGGAUCUUGCGCAAUGGGCGGAAGCCUGACGCAGCAACGCCGCGUGCCCGACGAAGGCCUUCGGGUCGUAAAGGGCUUUUCUGGCUGAGGAAGGCGGCCUGACGGUCGCUUGACGGCAGGCCAGGAAGAAGUGUCGGCUAACUACGUGCCAGCAGCCGCGGUAAAACGUAGGACGCGAGCGUUAUCCGGAGUUACUGGGCGUAAAGGGCGGGCAGGCGGUGGCUCACAUUGGACGUGAAAGCGCCCGGCUCAACCGGGCGAGGCCGUUCGACACGGGGUCACUGGAGGGCCGUAGAGGUGCGUGGAAUUCCGGGUGGAGUGGUGAAAUGCGUAGAGAUCCGGAGGAACACCAGAGGCGAAGGCGACGCACUGGGCGGCCCCUGACGCUGAGCCGCGACAGCCAGGGGAGCGAACGGGAUUAGAAACCCUUGUAGUCC